CUAUUCAACGCCACUACACUUCUCCUCUCUCAGCUCUCUCCCUAGGGUUUCCCUCUCUCCAAUGGCGUCCGUGCAGAGCCACCUCUCUGCCGUUUCUUCGAUUGCCUCGCGCUGUUCGUCUCCGUCUUCACCGCCGUCGUCGUCCUUCUCUUCGACCGCUGCCACUUCGCUGGUCCCCGUUGGCCGGUCGCCGCAGUGCCGCCGGAAAUGUUCCGGAGUGGGGAUGAUUCGGCUCCGGCGGUCCGUGUGCCGAGCGAUGGUUCAGCAGGCCGUGCCCGGCGCUUCUGCUGCGUAUGCUAAGGAAAUGGAGAGGCUUUCCGCCAAAGAAUCGCUGCUUCUCGCUUUUAAGGAUGCUGGGGGUUUUGAGGCGUUAGUCACAGGGAAGACAACAGACAUGGAGCGGAUUGAUGUGAAUGAGAGGAUAACUGCUUUGGAACGAGUCAAUCCAACACAACGUCCUACAACGUCGCCUUUUUUGGAAGGUCGAUGGAAUUUCGAGUGGUUUGGAUCUGGAAGCCCACGUCUAUUUGCUGCCAGAUUUUUGUUUGAGAGGUUUCCUUCAACUUUGGCUAGUUUGACAAAAAUGGAGGUGGUCCUCAAGGAUGAGAAUGCAAAGAUUACAGCAAAAUUGAAAGUGUUGAACUCGAUAGAAGGCAAGUUUACUUUGUCAACCAAGUUAACUGUGGAGGGACCAGUUCGAAUGAAAGAGGAAUAUGUUGAGGGGGUUCUUGAGACACCAAAAGUAAUUGAAGAGGCAAUACCAGACCAGCUAAAAGGUGCACUUGGUCAGGCCGUAAACAUAGUGCAACAACUUCCUCUGCCUAUUAGGGAUGCCUUUUCCAGCGGGCUGAAAGUUCCUUUAAGUACUAUUUAGUAUUUACUAAGACAGUAUAUGAACGUUGGAAACUGACUAUUUGGGAUAAAGAUGCUAAGAUGCUGGGGAGUUCUUUUAUCCUAUGAAUCCUAACCCUCCCUGCAUGUUAAUCAGCCGUUACGUCUCCUUUCUGUAAAUCCAAGGGUGCCAAUAGUCUUCUGUGAGCUGGAGCUUUUGAGAGACUCUUCAUGAUCUCCUAUCUUGAUUCGGAGAUACUUAUAAUACGAGAUGCUGCUGGAGUUCCUGAAGUUCUUACAAGGUUGGAGUCUCCGCUGGAAGAAAGCGUCAUAGAGUAUGAAAGCUAAAAGGUGCUUUUAUGUAAGAUAACUCAACUUUUCUACUUUUUCCACAUAUUUGAGUUAAAAAAAAAGUUCUAUAUUUACCA